GAGCAGUGUUAUGGUGUGCCCUUGAAAGUAAGGUCGAAGCCUUCGAGCUGCAAUCAACAAGGUGUAAGUUAGUUUCUCUAACUUAGUAUAUCUGAUUUCGACGUCUCUCAGUACUCGACUUAUGUAGUAGAUCGGCCGUUGAAUUUUUGCUUCUUCCUUAACCAGAACUGCUGUGAGAGCCAUAGGGGAGACUGCCAGGUACAGGAACAACUCCUCUCCGGGUUCGAACUUUGCCAAU
rnacentral:lncRNA from 1 species